CUCUUUCAGUAGGGAAGAAGCGAAAGUGACGGUACCUGCAGAAGAAGCGCCGGGCUAACUACGUGCCAGCAGCCGCGGUAAUACGUAGGGCGCAAGCGUUAUCCGGGAAUUAUUGGGCGUAAAGAGCUCGUAGGCGGUUUGUCGCGUCUGCCGUGAAAGUCCGGGGCUCAACUCCGGAUCUGCGGUGGGUACGGGCAGACUAGAGUGAUGUAGGGGAGACUGGAAUUCCUGGUGUAGCGGUGAAAUGCGCAGAUAUCAGGAGGAACACCGAUGGCGAAGGCAGGUCUCUGGGCAUUAACUGACGCUGAGGAGCGAAAGCAUGGGGAGCGAACAGGAUUAGAUACCCUGGUAGUCCAUGCCGUAAACGUUGGGCACUAGGUGUGGGGGACAUUCCACGUUUUCCGCGCCGUAGCUAACGCAUUAAGUGCCCCGCCUGGGGAGUACGGCCGCAAGGCUAAAACUCAAAGGAAUUGACGGGGGCCCGCACAAGCGGCGGAGCAUGCGGAUUAAUUCGAUGCAACGCGAAGAACCUUACCAAGGCUUGACAUGAACCGGAAACGUCUGGAAACAGGCGCCCCACUUGUGGUCGGUUUACAGGUGGUGCAUGGUUGUCGUCAGCUCGUGUCGUGAGAUGUUGGGUUAAGUCCCGCAACGAGCGCAACCCUCGUUCCAUGUUGCCAGCGCGUAAUGGCGGGGACUCAUGGGAGACUGCCGGGGUCAACUCGGAGGAAGGUGGGGACGACGUCAAAUCAUCAUGCCCCUUAUGUCUUGGGCUUCACGCAUGCUACAAUGGCCGGUACAAAGGGUUGCGAUACUGUGAGGUGGAGCUAAUCCCAAAAAGCCGGUCUCAGUUCGGAUUGGGGUCUGCAACUCGACCCCAUGAAGUCGGAGUCGCUAGUAAUCGCAGAUCAGCAACGCUGCGGUGAAUACGUUCCCGGGCCUUGUACACACCGCCCGUCAAGUCACGAAAGUUGGUAACACCCGAAGCUAGGUGGCC
rnacentral:rRNA from 1 species